rnacentral:sRNA from 1 species
UACAAACUAACUUUCGCUAAUAUUAGAAAUAGAGAAAGUCCACUUUUCCUUUCAAUUCAACAUGGAUGAAAAUAUAGUGAAUAUUUUUUUUUCACUUUUUGUUGACCAGUUGACUACUUGAUUUUUUACUUUUGCUCACUGAUUCCUGAAGUUAGUAGCACUGGUGAUGAUUAUUGCACAUCCUGUUCAUUACAUAUUUUUGCUGUGUAGGUUUUGUACAUGUACAAAAGCAUCAUUUCUGAAAGAUGGUAUUAUUAAAUGUGAAAGUGAUGUUUAUCACAAGUUUUAAAAUAUUUCAUCUUAACUUUUUGUCUUGCACUUUCUUUUGUCAGAUAAUUGAAUUUUUUCAAUUGUCUAUAUUUAGAAUAAUACAACGAAAACUUGGUUUAAGGUAAUUCAAGGAAAUACCCUUACAUAAGGGCUUUAAAAAUAGAUUUUUUUUUAAGAAUUAGGCUGUGGAAUAGUUGAUAGAAAGCAGUGCAGUAUUGCCACAUGUACACUUUUUUUCAUGUGUUCAUGACUUUCCUUUUCAUGUGCUCUCUUAAAAAGAUGUUACAUUAUCUGCUGUCACCACUUGAAACAUGUUCAAUUUAUGCUACAUUUAUUGAUGUUUUGGGAAGAAAAUUUUGUUUAUAGAUUAGAACGAGAGUACACAAAUAUUUUAUUCAAUAAUUGGUUUAAAUAUUAAAGAUGUGAAUAAUGGUUGAAAAGAGUAUUUACUAAAAAAAAACCUGUGGUCUUUGUAGACCUUGAUAAUGUAACCCUUUAAAUAUUUUAUUUUUUAACCAAAGAACAGUUUUUCUGUAAUAAUGAUUAAUGUUCAAUGUGCUUUCAUCAAAGGCAUGAGAAAGUGUUAAGCUCAUUGUGUUACAUGUAUGCUUGCAUGCAUUAUUUGUAGAGAUAUACAUUUAACUAUUAAAUUAUGUGAAAAUU